UAUCUCUUAGCUUGUCACACUGAAGACCCUUAUCCCUCCAGGGAACUGUUCCCAAUUACUGUCCAUUCCAAGUUAUCUGGACAGUGUCUGGCUCAUUCCCCACCCAGAUCUGCUUGCAAGGGGCUUUAUGAUCACUGCCUUCAGAUGCCAUUUCAUUAGCUGUAUCAAUCUGUUCUUCCAUUCAUUUUACAAACAUUUGCCGAAUGCCUAGUAUGCCUCUGACAGUGUACUAUGUGCUGGGGUUGGAUAUAAAUAAAUUAUGGUCUCUGCUGCUCUGUAGGAAUAGUUAAUUUCAGAAAUCUUACCUACUGUCAUGUUAAUAGGUUCAUAAUGGAUCUCAAAUAUACCUUUUCUGAUCCUGAGUUACACCUUAGUUCUCUAGCACAUGUUUAAUAUUUGUGUUUUCCUUGUCCCUAAACCUAGCAAGACUAAUGCUUUCCUAUCCUAGAGGCCCAGGAUCCUAAUUACAUGAUUAUUAGCCUUGCCGUCGAUAUUUCCCCAAACUCAAACAUGGAAACGAUAUCCUUUCAAUUCUUCCGCUUUUAAGGCAUUAAGAUUAAUCCUCUCAAUUUCCCUUGGACAAUAUCUUGAACCUUCUCCAUUUCCACAGGUAGACAUACAACCCACCCACAUCACACAUUUGGGUGACAGGAGUAACCUCCUCCCCAAUACUUCUGCUUCUCUCCACUUCACUCCAUCCCCAACAGAGCUGCCAGGUUGAUUUUCCUACCUGACUAAUCUGACUCCACAGCAACACCUCUCUCUUGCUCUGGAUUUUCUUAAUACCUAAGUAUACAGUCUAGGUCACAUUAUCAUACAUAUUCACAUGGUGCUUUUUAAAAUUAUUCCCUCAGAGGCCAAGACGUGUCAUGGGUAUCAGUGAUAGUAUUUUAAUGAAUGCAGCUCUCUUGAAGAGGACUUGGAAACUAAUGCUAUCAGGUAUGUGGCAAAGGCCACCUUAUAAAACAGUAAAGGACAGGCUCUGAGGUUAGUGACAGAGCCUCUCUGAGUUCCUCACUUUGCAGCAACAGGGAGCAGCAAAGCCAGGGCCCCAUGGGACUGCUCUCCCUUCUGCUAAUGGCACUUGGUUGGCAGAGGUGACGAGAUCCUAACAUUCUCAAAUGGACAGAAGAUAAAUAAACAUCUCUCUCUCUCUCUCUCUCUCUCUCUCUCUCUCUCUCUAAACAGACAUGUUGCAGCUCGGAAAUUUUUCAGUUUUUCUCAUUGCAAAAUCAAUAACCAUCAGCAGUUUGAAAUUAAAGGCAAGAUUAGGCCUCAGUUUUAUACAUGCCUUAUUGUAUUCCAAAAGCUUUCUACUCAGUCAGAUAAAUCUUCUUUAAGAGGAUUAGGAAACUUUCAUUAUCUUUAUCUAACCUGAACUAACACUAAGUCUGAAAAAUUAAUCUAUAGACUGGACAAAAGCCGAUAGCUGCUGGGAAGAAGGAGGACUCUUGGACUUCUUUCUAAUUGAGCAGUGGGGUCUCUGCUUCCUCCCACUAGAAAUUCAACUGGUCUCCAAAGAAAGAACAAGUCACCCAUUGCUAACCAAGACAGAACAGAAUGCAGCUCUUGCUGCAUUUCCUGAAUUUGAAGAUAACUUUGCUGUCAAGGCCACGAAGGUGCCAUGGAGGCGUCACUUCCAAAGCUGAGAAUUUCAGCUCCUCUGGAACUAAGCCCAGGUGGCAGGCGGGGUAGUGAGAACUCACACCCCCUUGUUUUCUGCACCCCAGAAACUUUCAACAGACAUUCCGGCUCAUCUCAGAUAACUGAUCUCACCAAGUGCCUCCACCAUCCACUGAGAAGAAGCAUCAGACAUGACAGCUGCCUUUAUCUCCAGAUGGCAGGCCGUCUUGUAGUUCCAAAGCAGUGAUCAUCACCAAGCCAUACCCCUGGGUGGGACAUGAGUGGAGAAUGGAAACAGCAGAGUGUACAGACAUCUGUGGUAUGCAGACCAAUGUGGGUGUCUGAAAGCACUUGGGGAUGAGACAAGGGCUUGGACGCUGAACUGAGGCUGGGCUUCAAGCAAUAUGGCAGCACCCAGGGCCUGGUGGAAAAGAAAGCUGCAGCAGAAUGAUUUCUGAUCCAGCACAUGCCAUUACAAAUGUCCCAAGAACCAGAGACCUGGAUGUUAAGCUAGCAAAGAGCUGUUUUAGCCAAAAGAAGGAAUGGCCACCCUGAUUUUUACAAGUGAAUGAAGUGUGAAAAGACACUAACCCCUAUUCAAACUCUCCAUGAAACCAACUGAUAGUGCUAAGUAACUUAAGAAAGCUCAACAAGCACAUGCCAAACAACUUAUUAACAAGAACAGAAGGACCAAAGGUACAAUUGAGAGACUGUGAAGAUAUGCAGUACUUAGUCAAGAAUUCAGCAGAUGGGAAGGAAUCCAGAACAUACACUCAGUCUCUGGGUUCCACAGAGGAAAAUGUUUCUCAUGUCUUCACACCAGAAUAGAAGCAAAGACUGAGAUAAUGUUUCCCUUCCAUCAUCGACAGGUCCACCAAGCCCCGAAUCCAGCUGUA